rnacentral:rRNA from 1 species
AACUAACGCUGGCGGCGUGCCUAACACAUGCAAGUCGUACGAGAAAGUUGGCUUCGGCCGAUGAGUACAGUGGCGCACGGGUGAGUAACGCGUGGAUAAUCUGCCCUUAAGUGUGGAAUAACGUACCGAAAGGUGCGCUAAUACCGCAUAAUGCCUGGCAACAUAAGUUGUCCGGCCAAAGAAGGCCUCUGCUUGCAAGCUUUCGCUAAAGGAUGAGUCCGCGUACCAUUAGCUAGUUGGUGGGGUAACGGCCUACCAAGGCGACGAUGGUUAGCUGGUCUGAGAGGAUGAUCAGCCACACUGGAACUGAGACACGGUCCAGACUCCUACGGGAGGCAGCAGUGAGGAAUAUUGCGCAAUGGGGGCAACCCGUGACGCAGCAACGCCGCGUGAGUGAGGAAGGUUUUCGGACUGUAAAGCUCUGUCGAGCGGGAAGAAGUGUACCAUGGACUAAUAUCCAUGAUAUUUGACGGUACG